rfam:Gossypium arboreum cultivar AKA8401 contig_1535_5, whole genome shotgun sequence.
UGUUAAAAAAUUCAUCAAUUUCUACAGGUUAAAAAGUGGCAUUACUGAUAAAAUAACCAAAUAGUUACACGUGGUAUGCCACGUGUACCUCAUUUUAGCAUACAAAGACUAUUUUUUAACAAUAGAAAUUAAUGAAAUUUUUAACA